ensembl:lncRNA
GUAAACUGGACAGAGACAUUACUUUGCCAACAAAGGUCCGUCUGGUCAAGGCUAUGGUUUUUCCAGUGGUCAUGUAUGGAUGUGAGAGUUGGACUGUGAAGAAAGCUGAGCACUGAAGAAUUGAUGCUUUUGAACUGUGGUGCUGGAGAAGACUCUUGAGAGUCCCUUGGACUGCAAGGAGAUCCAACGAGUCCAUUCUGAAGGAGAUCAGCCCUGGGAUUUCUUUGGAAGGAAUGAUGCUAAAGCUGAAACUCCAGUACUUUGGCCACCUCAUGCGAAGAGUUGACUCAUUGGAAAAGACUCUGAUGCUGGGAGGGAUUGGGGGCAGGAGGAGAAGGGGAUGGCAGAGGAUGAGAUGGCUGGAUGGCAUCACCGACUCGAUGGACGCAGAGUCUUUACUACUGAGCCGCCAAGGAAGCCUCCACAUAUAAUGUACAACAGGGUUUUUUGUUUUUUUUUUUUUUAAACUCCCACUUUUACCAAGGACCUACCAACGUGGGCCAAGAUCUCACCAAAACCGUGAAGAAGGCAGCCCCUGGUCAUUACCAAGAAGUCUACACCAGCCUGGGCAGCAACUUCCACACCAACAAGCGUGUAGGCCAGGAGAUAGCCCUGAUUCUGGCAGGAAGUUCAGCAACAAGAUCAAAGGUCGUGUUGCACAUCUGAUGAAUCGGAUUCAGAGAGGCCCGGUGAGGGGUGUCUCCAUUCAGCUGCAGGAGAAGGCAGGAGAGGGGAGAGAGAAUUACGUGCCUGAGGUCUCAGCCCUGGACUAGGAAAUCCCUGAAGUAGAUCCUGACUCUAAGAAAACCCUGAAGCUCUUGGAGUUUGGCAGUCUGUCCAAACUGCAGGUCACUCAGCAGGCUACAGUUGGGAUGAAUUUAGAGCUGUUUGAAGUUUUCUGCUGUGCUGAAAUAUUUUCAUUAAACCUCGGACCCAAAAAAAAAAAUUUCCCAAGGGAACACGGGUUCGAUCCCUGGUCUGGGAAGAUUCCACCUGUCUCGGAGCAGCUAAGCACAUGUGCCACAACUACUGAAGCCCGUGCACCCAGAGCCCAUGCUCCGCAACAAGGGAAGCCAUCG